rnacentral:rRNA from 1 species
CGCUAGCGACAGGCUUAACACAUGCAAGUCGAGGGGCAGCACAGGUAGCAAUACCGGGUGGCGACCGGCGCACGGGUGAGUAACGCGUAUGCAACUUACCUAUCAGAGGGGGAUAACCCGGCGAAAGUCGGACUAAUACCGCAUGAAGCAGGGGCCCCGCAUGGGGAUAUUUGCUAAAGAUUCAUCGCUGAUAGAUAGGCAUGCGUUCCAUUAGGCAGUUGGCGGGGUAACGGCCCACCAAGCCGACGAUGGAUAGGGGUUCUGAGAGGAAGGUCCCCCACAUUGGUACUGAGACACGGACCAAACUCCUACGGGAGGCAGCAGUGAGGAAUAUUGGUCAAUGGCCGAGAGGCUGAACCAGCCAAGUCGCGUGAGGGAUGAAGGUUCUAUGGAUCGUAAACCUCUUUUAUAAGGGAAUAAAGUGCGGGACGUGUCCCGUUUUGUAUGUACCUUAUGAAUAAGGAUCGGCUAACUCCGUGCCAGCAGCCGCGGUAAUACGGAGGAUCCGAGCGUUAUCCGGAUUUAUUGGGUUUAAAGGGUGCGUAGGCGGCCUUUUAAGUCAGCGGUGAAAGUCUGUGGCUCAACCAUAGAAUUGCCGUUGAAACUGGGGGGCUUGAGUAUGUUUGAGGCAGGCGGAAUGCGUGGUGUAGCGGUGAAAUGCAUAGAUAUCACGCAGAACCCCGAUUGCGAAGGCAGCCUGCCAAGCCAUGACUGACGCUGAUGCACGAAAGCGUGGGGAUCAAACAGGAUUAGAUACCCUGGUAGUCCACGCAGUAAACGAUGAUCACUAGCUGUUUGCGAUACACUGUAAGCGGCACAGCGAAAGCGUUAAGUGAUCCACCUGGGGAGUACGCCGGCAACGGUGAAACUCAAAGGAAUUGACGGGGGCCCGCACAAGCGGAGGAACAUGUGGUUUAAUUCGAUGAUACGCGAGGAACCUUACCCGGGUUUGAACGCAUUCGGACCGAGGUGGAAACACCUUUUCUAGCAAUAGCCGUUUGCGAGGUGCUGCAUGGUUGUCGUCAGCUCGUGCCGUGAGGUGUCGGCUUAAGUGCCAUAACGAGCGCAACCCUUACCACUAGUUACUAACAGGUAAAGCUGAGGACUCUGGUGGGACUGCCAGCGUAAGCUGCGAGGAAGGCGGGGAUGACGUCAAAUCAGCACGGCCCUUACAUCCGGGGCGACACACGUGUUACAAUGGCGUGGACAAAGGGAAGCCACCUGGCGACAGGGAGCGAAUCCCCAAACCACGUCUCAGUUCGGAUCGGAGUCUGCAACCCGACUCCGUGAAGCUGGAUUCGCUAGUAAUCGCGCAUCAGCCAUGGCGCGGUGAAUACGUUCCCGGGCCUUGUACACACCGCCCGUCAAGCCAUGGGAGCCGGGGGUACCUGAAGUCCGUAACCGCGAGGAUCGGCCUAGGGUAAAACUGGUGACUGG